CUGUGUUGUGGCCCCAAGGCGGGCAGCCGAUGGCCUCUGCCCGAGCCAAUAUGAGCUGCAGCCUAAUUACAGGGGACGGUGACCCCAGGGAGCAGAGUUCAGGCUCCGGUCACAGCUGCACCCAGGAGCCAGCUGCUUCCCAGACCUGCAGAGCCAGGGGAGAGGUUUGGAGGACCGGCACUGAAUGACAUGAUCCAAAGCGCGCCAAGCUGGGCUGGAGGUGACGGCAGAGCCACAGUGGCCACAGAGCCCCCACGUGAACCUACACGGAUCUGCCUGGUUUAGGUUCUGCUGAACUCCAGGGUGAGGAGGACCUGGUCUCCAUUCUCAAAGACAUGAAGAGGUUGACAAAGAAGAGUCACAGAAGUGACAAGUGUCCUGCUCCCAGCCCCGUUCACACACUCACCCAUCAAGUGUGGCAGGGACAGCCGCCUCUUACCAUCCACCUUGGGACCUGGACCUAAGUGGAGGUUUCUGGAGGGGCAGAUCCAGGGGAAAGGGUCUCCUCAGAAGCAGCCGCCAUUCAGAGGACCUGAGAUGAGAACCUCAUCACGCCCUCAUCAGACAGAGGAGAUCCGCGGUGUCUCCGAGCCUGGUCUCCCACUCCCCACCCAGCAGCGUUCCCUCCGCUCACCCCAAGCUUAGAACAUUCUGCUUCCCCUAAGAUCAGCUGCCGCAGUGGACUGAAUAGUGACCCCCAAAAGACAUGCCAGAGCCCUAGCCCUCGGACCUGUGAAUGUGACAGGAGUUGGAAUAGGGUCUUUGCAGAUGCAAUAAAGGAUCUCAAGAGGAGAGUA